rnacentral:rRNA from 1 species
GGUGAACGCUAGCGGCGUGCUUUAGGCAUGCAAGUCGAACGAUCCAGCACCAGCAAUGGUGUUGGGUAGUGGCGGACGGGUGAGUAACGCGUGAGAACGUGCCCUUUAGUGAAGAAUACCUCGCCGAAAGGCGAGCUAAUACUGCAUAAUACCGCAAGGUUAAAGAGUGUAACUACUCGCUAAAGGAGCGGCUCGCGUCCCAUCAGCUUGUUGGUAGGGUAACGGCCUACCAAGGCUACGACGGGUAGCUGGACUGAGAGGUUGGCCAGCCACAAGGGCACUGAGACACGGGCCCUACUCCUACGGGAGGCAG